CCUACGGGAGGCUGCAGUGAGGAAUAUUGGUCAAUGGCCGGAAGGCUGAACCAGCCAAGCCGCGUGAAGGACGAAGGUGCCAAGCAUUUUAAACUUCUUUUGUCAAGGGACAAAUUCAGGCUCGAGAGCCUGACCGAGGGUACUUGAAGAAAAAGCAUCGGCCAACCCCGCGCCAGCAGCCGCGGUAAUACGGAGGAUGCGAGCGUGACCCGGAUUUACUUGGUUUAAAGGGUGCGUAGGCGGACUGUUAAGUCAGCGGGGAAAGCCCGGGGCUCAACCCCGGCAAGCCGGUUGAAACGGGCAGGCUUGAGGGUUGGAGAGGUAGGCGGAAUGCGAGGUGGAGCGGUGAAAUGCUUAGAUAUUGGGCGGAACACCGAUUGCGAAGGCGGCAUACCGGAGG
rnacentral:rRNA from 1 species